rnacentral:tRNA from 1 species
ACUGACUCUUAAUCAGUGGGUCCGGGGUUCGAGUCCCCGAAGAUGUACCA